rnacentral:rRNA from 1 species
GUGAGGAAUUUUCCGCAAUGGGCGAAAGCCUGACGGAGCAAUGCCGCGUGAAGGAUGAAGGCCUAUGGGUUGUAAACUUCUUUCCUCAGAAAAGAAUUAUGACGGUAUCUGAGGAAUAAGCAUCGGCUAACUCUGUGCCAGCAGCCGCGGUAAGACAGAGGAUGCAAGCGUUAUCCGGAAUGAUUGGGCGUAAAGCGUCUGUAGGUUGUUUAAAAAGUAUUCUGUCAAAGAUUAGGGCUUAACCCUAGAUAGGCAGAAUAAACUUUUAAGCUAGAGUUUGGUAGAGGCAGAGGGAAUUCCCGGUGGAGCGGUGAAAUGCGUAGAUAUCGGGAGGAACACCAAAGGCGAAGGCACUCUGCUGGGCCAAUACUAACACUGAGAGACGAAAGCGAGGGGAGCAAAUGGGAUUAGAAACCCCGGUAGUCC